CCCAUCCCCUUCAUCCCCUUCUCUCCCUCACCCCACCAUGGCCCAUCCUGACUGAGGUGUUAGGGUGUAUCUCAGUUCUGGAAAGUCUUGCUUGCUUGGAUGAAAUCCUCUCUCAGAGGAUUUCCACAUUAGGAGGGAGGGGUUCCGUAAAACCUGUAUGAGCUAAAGGAUAGGAUUUCCAAUCGUGUUAUCCGGGGAGGGGGUGACAAGUUGUGACGCGUGGCCCUGGGCAGUAGACCCUGCAUAAAGCCCCCCACCUAUGGAGGGCCACGCCUUUGCCUGCUGGUAAGGCUGGCCCUACAGAGAGGACCUCAAGACUACGAGCUUCGCACCCCAUGAAUGACCGCGUUUCUUCCUGGUGGAUGAAUGAACAUGCGUCUUCCUGGUGUCAGCCCCCUGCCCAUGGCUCUCGUCUGCAAGAGCGAAGAAACUUCACCACUUCUCUCUCCUGCUGUGGUUGGUAGAGCUGUGUUUAAACAUGCCUGUUCUGAAAUAAAUAGUCUGGCACUUCUCAGAAACGGGCACUUCACUCUAAUUAACAGGAAGAAGAUGAAACAGGAACCCAGCUCAGAGGCGCUGCUCACCUCACGGAUCAGGACUGGAGUAACUUCUAAGUGGCCAAGGAGAGGCAUCCUGGGGCUGCCUGCUGUGCUGUAGCCGCCUUCUGGAACACAGAGACCACUGCCCCAGACCGGCUCAGAGAGAGGACAAGGCGGAGACCCCACAGCGCGGAGCACUCCACCACCCGGCCGGUUCAGGACUCCCUCCCACCUCUGACCUCAUGGCUCCUCAGAUGCCAACUACUCCCCGUAAGCCAUGGAUGCCAGAGUUCGCCAAAUGUACUCAGCCCCUGGAAAUGUUGGACAGAAAAACAAUGAGGUGUUAGUGCCAAGGCACCUUGGGAGCAGAAACACCUGGAGGAGGGGUCAGGAGACCCAGAGUAUGGGGGUUGACUGGUGUCCCCCCAAGAUAUAUAUGGGCUUUCUGAUAGCUCAGCCUUCAGAAUGGGACUGUUUGAACAUAAGGUCUUUACAGAGGAAAUCAAGUUAGAAAGAGGCCCAAUCUAACUUGACUAAU
rnacentral:lncRNA from 1 species